UGUGUGUGUGUGUGUGUGUGUGUGUGUGUGUGUGUGCGCGCGCGCGCACAUACACACUCCUGCACACACCAAG
rnacentral:miRNA from 1 species